rnacentral:tRNA from 1 species
GCCGAGAUAGCACAGUAGGUAGUGCAGCCGAUUCGUAAUCGGCAGGUCGGGGGUUCAAAUCCCCUUCUCGGCU